rnacentral:rRNA from 1 species
AGUGAACGCUGGCGGUAGGCCUAACACAUGCAAGUCGAACGGCAGCACAGUAAGAGCUUGCUCUUACGGGUGGCGAGUGGCGGACGGGUGAGGAAUACAUCGGAAUCUACUUUUCGUGGGGGAUAACGUAGGGAAACUUACGCUAAUACCGCAUACGACCUACGGGUGAAAGCAGGGGAUCUUCGGACCUUGCGCGAUUGAAUGAGCCGAUAUCGGAUUAGCUAGUUGGCGGGGUAAAGGCCCACCAAGGCGACGAUCCGUAGCUGGUCUGAGAGGAUGAUCAGCCACACUGGAACUGAGACACGGUCCAGACUCCUACGGGAGGCAGCAGUGGGUAAUAUUGGACAAUGGGCGCAAGCCUGAUCCAGCCAUACCGCGUGGGUGAAGAAGGCCUUCGGGUUGUAAAGCCCUUUUGUUGGGAAAGAAAAGCAGCAGGUUAAUACCCCGCUGUUCUGACGGUACCCAAAGAAUAAGCACCGGCUAACUUCGU